rnacentral:lncRNA from 1 species
CUUCAGUUGACCUCUGGGCUGUUAGACACAUAGACAUAGAAAGAUAGACGCCGCAUCACGUGAUCCUGAGUGAACCAGCGGAGCCGCCAUAUUCCUGGGGUCAACCUAAGCUAGGCUACAUUCACAACCACAUAGACUGAACCACUGAACGGAGAAUCGCAACCGAUUGCAACCAUGCCUUUUGCUUGUGCAGCCUUCGGAUGCAAUAAUCGGCGCUCGAUUCAGAGCCGAUCACGUGGAAUUACAUUUCACAAGUUUCCCAGUGAGGUGGAAUUACGGAGGAGAUGGGAAGUUGCGAUGAGAAGACGAGAAGGAUUUUGUUGUCACCGAGUUCUCCAGGCUCUGCAGUGAGCAUUUUAAACCGGAUGAUUUUGACCGGACUCUGUUUUUCAUAAAGUACGGCUGCACCACAUGGCAAAAAUGACUACUCUGGAGUUUCAGAGUGCCAGCACACGCAAGAAACUGUCUACACAAGUUCUCUUUCAGGGGUUUUAGUUGUGGCAUUUUGUGCACAACUAAGUAUAUAAGUAUGUAUGUUCUCAUAGUUUUGAAGUUUCUUGUUUACUAAAACAAAAUGUAUUUCGUUAUUUUUAUUCUGUAACGUAGCAGAUGUUGAAAUGUUUAUUGUGCAUUAAUGCCAUAGUGAGGAUAAAGUCUAUUAUGUGUUUGAUUUUCUUUGUUAAGGCUGAACAAAUUUCCCCCUAACAUUUGAAACACAUUUUUACUGAGAUGCCAUUACAUGUUUUUUUUCUGUGUUUUUUGGUAGGUUUGAUGAGUUAAAAUUGUUUUUCAACCCCUCUCAGAUGGAGAAAAUUCAAAUAAAUAAAUAAAUAAAAUAAACUAUCAAACUUGUUUUGCAUAUUAAAUCAAUUCUUUCUUCAUUAAAAUACCAUAAUCAUAUGAUAUAUUAUGUUUAAAAGCAUAAAACAUGUUUUUUUUUAACUCUCAGAAACAUUCCUCAUUAGAAACAAUGGCACUGCAGGGGCACUUUGACCUCGUCAAGAUGGCGGCGC